UAAGUAGAUUGCCUUAUCGCUCUUGUGCUGAAUUUGUUUCAUAAUCAUUUUUUUAUUGGCUAUAUAGUUGAUUUGAAAAGGUACUGAAACAAGUUCAGUGCUGGGGAGGAAAGUCCGAACACCGUAGUGCAACAUAGUGGUUAAUUACCACCAGUCGUGAGGCUAGGAAAAGUGCAACAGAAAGUAUGUACAGGUUAUGCUGUAGUGAAAUCAGGUAAACUCUAUGUGGUGCAAUGUCAUGUAAACCAGUGUUUGAGGGCUGCACGCUCGAUGCUGGAGGGUAGGCAGCUAAAGUAUAUUGGUAACAAUAUACUCAGAUAAAUGAUAAGGUAUUCUUGUGUUUGUUUUUAAGCAAUUUUGAAACAAGUUCAGGAUGAACAGAAUUCGGCUUAUAGAUUUACUUGAAUA
rnacentral:RNase_P_RNA from 1 species